rnacentral:rRNA from 1 species
UCUUAGACAAUGGGCGCAAGCCUGAUCUAGCCAUGCCGCGUGAGCGAUGAAGGCCUUAGGGUUGUAAAGCUCUUUCAGAUGGGAAGAUAAUGACGGUACCAUCAGAAGAAGCCCCGGCUAACUCCGUGCCAGCAGCCGCGGUAAUACGGAGGGGGCUAGCGUUGUUCGGAAUUACUGGGCGUAAAGCGCGCGUAGGCGGAUUGGAAAGUUGGGGGUGAAAUCCCGGGGCUCAACCUCGGAACUGCCUUCAAAACUCCCAGUCUUGAGUUCGAGAGAGGUAAGUGGAAUUCCGAGUGUAGAGGUGAAAUUCGUAGAUAUUCGGAGGAACACCAGUGGCGAAGGCGGCUCACUGGCUCGAUACUGACGCUGAGUGCGAA